rnacentral:rRNA from 1 species
CUCUGCUCAAUGGUUUACUAAAUAGCCGCAGUACUUUGACUGUGCAAAGGUAGCAUAAUCAAUUGGCCUCUAAUUAAGGUCUGGAAUGAACGAAAAUAUGGGCAAUAACUGUCUUAUUAAUACGCCAUAAAAUUAGUAAACAAGUGCAAAUACUUGUAAAAAUAAAAAAGACGAGAAGACCCUAGAAACUUGAAUAUGAUUUUGUUGGGGCGACAGAAUUACACUAAACUAAUUUUAUUUUACGUGACGUUUAACAGAAAGAUAAAGUUACUCUAGGGAUAACAGCAUAAUUUUUAAUAGUUUGUGACCUCGAUGUUGGACUAGGUAUAAAGAUUCUUUAGAAGAGCUUUUUGUUGCUCUGUUCGAGCACUUUAACCUACGUGAUCUGAGUUCAGACCGGA